rnacentral:rRNA from 5 species
UUAAAUUGAAGAGUUUGAUCAUGGCUCAGAUUGAACGCUGGCGGCAGGCCUAACACAUGCAAGUCGAACGGUAACAGGAAGCAGCUUGCUGCUUCGCUGACGAGUGGCGGACGGGUGAGUAAUGUCUGGGAAACUGCCUGAUGGAGGGGGAUAACUACUGGAAACGGUGGCUAAUACCGCAUAACGUCGCAAGACCAAAGAGGGGGACCUUUGGGCCUCUUGCCAUCAGAUGUGCCCAGAUGGGAUUAGCUUGUUGGUGAGGUAACGGCUCACCAAGGCGACGAUCCCUAGCUGGUCUGAGAGGAUGACCAGCCACACUGGAACUGAGACACGGUCCAGACUCCUACGGGAGGCAGCAGUGGGGAAUAUUGCACAAUGGGCGCAAGCCUGAUGCAGCCAUGCCGCGUGUAUGAAGAAGGCCUUCGGGUUGUAAAGUACUUUCAGCGGGGAGGAAGGUGUUGUGGUUAAUAACCGCAGCAAUUGACGUUACCCGCAGAAGAAGCACCGGCUAACUCCGUGCCAGCAGCCGCGGUAAUACGGAGGGUGCAAGCGUUAAUCGGAAUUACUGGGCGUAAAGCGCACGCAGGCGGUCUGUCAAGUCGGAUGUGAAAUCCCCGGGCUCAACCUGGGAACUGCAUUCGAAACUGGCAGGCUUGAGUCUUGUAGAGGGGGGUAGAAUUCCAGGUGUAGCGGUGAAAUGCGUAGAGAUCUGGAGGAAUACCGGUGGCGAAGGCGGCCCCCUGGACAAAGACUGACGCUCAGGUGCGAAAGCGUGGGGAGCAAACAGGAUUAGAUACCCUGGUAGUCCACGCCGUAAACGAUGUCUACUUGGAGGUUGUGCCCUUGAGGCGUGGCUUCCGGAGCUAACGCGUUAAGUAGACCGCCUGGGGAGUACGGCCGCAAGGUUAAAACUCAAAUGAAUUGACGGGGGCCCGCACAAGCGGUGGAGCAUGUGGUUUAAUUCGAUGCAACGCGAAGAACCUUACCUGGUCUUGACAUCCACAGAAGAAUCCAGAGAUGGAUUUGUGCCUUCGGGAACUGUGAGACAGGUGCUGCAUGGCUGUCGUCAGCUCGUGUUGUGAAAUGUUGGGUUAAGUCCCGCAACGAGCGCAACCCUUAUCCUUUGUUGCCAGCGGUUAGGCCGGGAACUCAAAGGAGACUGCCAGUGAUAAACUGGAGGAAGGUGGGGAUGACGUCAAGUCAUCAUGGCCCUUACGACCAGGGCUACACACGUGCUACAAUGGCGCAUACAAAGAGAAGCGACCUCGCGAGAGCAAGCGGACCUCAUAAAGUGCGUCGUAGUCCGGAUUGGAGUCUGCAACUCGACUCCAUGAAGUCGGAAUCGCUAGUAAUCGUGGAUCAGAAUGCCACGGUGAAUACGUUCCCGGGCCUUGUACACACCGCCCGUCACACCAUGGGAGUGGGUUGCAAAAGAAGUAGGUAGCUUAACCUUCGGGAGGGCGCUUACCACUUUGUGAUUCAUGACUGGGGUGAAGUCGUAACAAGGUAACCGUAGGGGAACCUGCGGUUGGAUCACCUCCUUACCUUAAAGAAGC